AGGCAUCACCAGGGAGAUGAUGAAGAAGGGCAGCCAGCACACAAUAAAUGCUCCUAAAAUGAUCCCUAGGGUCUUGGUGGCUUUGCGCUCCCUAGCGGCCAUGAGUUUCUUCUUUUCCAGCAGGGCGUCUGAGACUCUCACUUUGACUUGGUUCACGUACACAGGAGACCCGGACUCACUGGGCACGUCCGGAGCCCGGGAGUUAAUGGAGGUGACCGAGGACGUGGAUCCCGGGGAGUCUGUUAUCAACUGGGCUCGGGUCAAGCGCUUGCCGGUCUUGUUGGGUGUCUGUUUCAAAAUCCGAGAGCGGGCUUCCACAUAGAUGCGGCCAUAGAGGGCGAUGAGGAGCAGGGUGGGUAAAUAGAAAGCGCCCACCGUGGAGUAGACCGUGUAGAGGACAUGGUCGGUGUUCACAAAGCAGUCCAGCAUCUCCUCCUCCGCUUUGGCUUGACGCCAGAAGAAGGGUGGCAACGAAAUAGAGAUGGAGAAGACCCACACCAGCACGAUCAUGAUGGCCGCCCUUUUGGGAGUCCUUUUAGCAGAAUACUCCACCGCAUCAGUGAUGGCCCAGUAGCGGUCCAAGGCGAUGACACAGAGAUGCAUGAUGGAAGCAGUGCAACAGGUGAUAUCCGACGACAGCCAGAAGUCGCAGACCACCUGGCCUAGUGUCCAGCGUCCAGUGACCGUGUACAUGGUGCUGAUGGGCAUCACCAGGAUGGACACGAGCAGAAUUUCAAAGCAAAACUGCAAAACUUCAAGUAUCAUUUACAAGAAGGAUCUAUGCGAGGCACAAAGCAAAUCUCAAGCAACUGAAACUGACAGUUAAUCAAAAAAGAUGAUUAAGAAAAUAGCUGUAAUCAAAGGAAAUAACUUCUCUAUCAACAAUCAGCAUAGGCCACGACUGCAAGCUCCUGCUGCCUGCACUUCCUUGCCAUGAUGGACUGUACCUUGAAUCCUGUACUAAAAGAAACCUGUUCUUUCAUAAGUUGCUUUCGUCAGAGUAGAAUGCUCACAGCAACAGAAGAGAAACUAGGACAUCUUAUAAAGUUGCACUUCAUGAAUUGCCAGCACCCAAAUCUAACUCAACCCUCCCAAGUAUACAGAGCCAUGUUCUAUCUUGUCCUUGUCAAACACCCCUGUUUUCUCUCAGGUACUUAAAAAGGCUGAUGGCUGACACUUUGGCUACAAAAAUGUAUAACUACGUUGUCUUGAUCCAUUCUUCACUCGGUAGAUUAUUGCUUUGGAUCCUAAGUGCCAAUAUUUUUUUUUCUGUGUAUAUUAAAUGAAAAGGUCUAAAAUACUGGUGACUUCUCUUGUUAGAAAGGUUUACUUUUCUGUCAAAUGUGUACUUUAUUUUCAGUAUUAGAGUAUGCUUUUAUUAUGUCUAUUUUUUCUCUACUACUGCUUGACUAUAACAGACUAGUUAUGAGAAUUUGUCCUAAGGUAGUACAUUUUAAGAUU
rnacentral:lncRNA from 1 species